AGUGAACGCUGGCGGCGUGCUUAACACAUGCAAGUCGAACGAGAACGGAUUAUAGCUUGCUAUAAUUGUCAGCUAAGUGGCGCACGGGUGAGUAAUAUAUAGAUAACCUGCCCUCUAGAAAGGAAUAACAGUUGGAAACGACUGCUAAUGCCCUAUAUGCCUUUAAUACAUAAGUAUGCAAGGGAAACGCUUUAGUGCUAGAGGAUGGGUCUGUAUGGUAUCAGCUUGUUGGUGAGGUAAUGGCUCGCCAAGGCUAUGACGCCUAACUGGUUUGAGAGGAUGAUCAGUCACACUGGAACUGAGACACGGUCCAGACUCCUACGGGAGGCAGCAGUGGGGAAUAUUGCACAAUGGACGAAAGUCUGAUGCAGCAACGCCGCGUGGAGGAUGACACAUUUCGGUGCGUAAACUCCUUUUAUAUAGGAAGAUAAUGACGGUACUAUAUGAGUAAGCACCGGCUAACUCCGUGCCAGCCGCCGCGGUAA
rnacentral:rRNA from 1 species